UGGUGGAGUGAUUUGUCUGCCUAAUCGCGAUAACGAACGAGACCUUAACCUGCUAAAUAGCCCGUAUUGCCCCGGCAGUACGCUGGCUUCUUAGAGGGACUAUCGGCUCAAGCCGAUGGAAGUUUGAGGCAAUAACA
rnacentral:rRNA from 1 species